CUGCGGACCGCGGCCUCGGAACCCGGGCUGCCCUUGUGGGAGGGCACGAGGCACCGUCGGGUUUGAUUGCCGCGAGGCCGACUCCGGAGGAUCCAGUACUACACCACCUACAGACAAGCGUACCACAUGGAGCAACAGCCCGUCUACAAGUGCUGCCCUGGUUGGAGCCAGUGGGACAAUGAACCUGGCUGCCUAUGCUGCGGUGGGAACAUGUUUCAAAGGAAGGAGGUGCUCAGACGGCGAGGCCCAGCAGAGCCAGUAUUCAGAGGGUUUUCAAGGCCCCCACUGUCAAUAUGAACUCCAUGAAGAGGUCUUGGGCUAAUUUAUUCAAUAUAGUGCCAAACGGCCGUGGAACAAGAUGUCAGUGGAAACAUUCCUAACUGCCCGAGGCAGUCAUAUGCCACAGCUGGCACCAUAUUUAAACUACUUCCCCACGUAAGUGCAUAAUUUUGUCACCUGGUGAUAAAGAGCAAAGAGCUACAAAAGGAAAUUUUGCAAAAAAUAGUCUUAUUUUCACUUAGCUAAUGCUGCAACUCUGUCAAUUAGGCCUUUUUAGGUAGAUGAAAACAUUUGUGUGCCAAUUAAAUAACUUAGCAAAUUUCAGCAAGACUCAGCAAAAUUCAGAAUGCCAUUUCCUAAAGAUGCAGCCCCAUUCUUGUUAAACAAAGAUGAUCAGAUGCCAUCUAGGACAUUUAGUGGCUCCUCAGAUACUGAAAAAUUUUAAGUCAAAGAAAAAGCACCACUCUUAACUAAGGAAAGCCAAAAAAAGGUAACAAGGGAAACCAAAAUAUUAAAAACAUGAAAUAAUUUUUCAAAAAUAUGUAUACUGGAGGAGAAAUGAUAAAUUAACUUGAAAUGGUAAAUCUUUUCAUUUUUUAUUUCAAAGUGUAGCUCUG
rnacentral:lncRNA from 1 species